AUGGUCCAGUCAAGAUGUUGGCAUGCCAGAGCCAAUUGUUAUGCCAUUGUCAUCCCCGAGCCUCUUGAGUUCCUUCUCUACUAUGUACCACUCAGCCACACAAUAGUUUGUCGAGCUCAAAGGGCUAGGAGAGUGUCCUUAAUUCUGAUCAGGGCACCAGUGCAAAGGGGUUGGACAUCAUGCCUCCAUCCAAUCAGAUGGAGAGGUAAGGUACCUAGCCGAUCAAGGAUUGAUGGGAUGAACUAUAGUUACCUCCAUCGCCCAGCAAGUUGGUGGGGCUCUCAUCCGUCUAAUGUCCAACAGGAAGAAGCACCAUUGGCUCUGCCACCGUACCACAAGAUGGAAGUGCACACGUGGGACCCCAUCGCUCACUCAUCAAACAGAAGUGUUGGGAGCAUCCCCCUCCACUAUAGUAGAGUGGACACAAGAUACUGGUGGUAG
rnacentral:rRNA from 1 species